rnacentral:rRNA from 1 species
UUAAGCGACUAAGCGUACACGGUGGAUGCCCUGGCAGUCAGAGGCGAUGAAGGACGUGCUAAUCUGCGAAAAGCGCCGGCGAGGUGAUAUGAACCUUUGACCCGGCGAUGUCCGAAUGGGGAAACCCAGUGUGAUUCGUCACACUAUCGUUAACUGAAUACAUAGGUUAACGAGGCGAACCGGGGGAACUGAAACAUCUAAGUACCCCGAGGAAAAGAAAUCAACCGAGAUUCCCCCAGUAGCGGCGAGCGAACGGGGAGCAGCCCGGAGUCUGAAUCAGCUUGUGUGUUAGUGGAACGGUCUGGAAAGUCCGACGGUACAGGGUGAUAGUCCCGUACACGAAAAUGCACAGGUUGUGAACUCGAAGAGUAGGGCGGGACACGUGGUAUCCUGUCUGAAUAUGGGGGGACCAUCCUCCAAGGCUAAAUACUCCUGACUGACCGAUAGUGAACCAGUACCGUGAGGGAAAGGCGAAAAGAACCCCGGCGAGGGGAGUGAAAAAGAACCUGAAACCGUGUACGUACAAGCAGUGGGAGCCUACUUGUUAGGUGACUGCGUACCUUUUGUAUAAUGGGUCAGCGACUUAUAUUCUGUAGCAAGGUUAACCGUAUAGGGGAGCCGAAGGGAAACCGAGUCUUAACUGGGCGUUAAGUUGCAGGGUAUAGACCCGAAACCCGGUGAUCUAGCCAUGGGCAGGUUGAAGGUUGGGUAACACUAACUGGAGGACCGAACCGACUAAUGUUGAAAAAUUAGCGGAUGACCUGUGGCUGGGGGUGAAAGGCCAAUCAAACCGGGAGAUAGCUGGUUCUCCCCGAAAGCUAUUUAGGUAGCGCCUCGUGAACUCAUCUUCGGGGGUAGAGCACUGUUUCGGCUAGGGGGCCAUCCCGGCUUACCAACCCGAUGCAAACUACGAAUACCGAAGAAUGUUAUCACGGGAGACACACGGCGGGUGCUAACGUCCGUCGUGAAGAGGGAAACAACCCAGACCGCCAGCUAAGGUCCCAAAGUCAUGGUUAAGUGGGAAACGAUGUGGGAAGGCACAGACAGCCAGGAUGUUGGCUUAGAAGCAGCCAUCAUUUAAAGAAAGCGUAAUAGCUCACUGGUCGAGUCGGCCUGCGCGGAAGAUGUAACGGGGCUAAACCAUGCACCGAAGCUGCGGCAGCGACGCUUAUGCGUUGUUGGGUAGGGGAGCGUUCUGUAAGCCGUUGAAGGUGGCCUGUGAGGGUUGCUGGAGGUAUCAGAAGUGCGAAUGCUGACAUAAGUAACGAUAAAGCGGGUGAAAAGCCCGCUCGCCGGAAGACCAAGGGUUCCUGUCCAACGUUAAUCGGGGCAGGGUGAGUCGACCCCUAAGGCGAGGCCGAAAGGCGUAGUCGAUGGGAAACAGGUUAAUAUUCCUGUACUUGGUGUUACUGCGAAGGGGGGACGGAGAAGGCUAUGUUAGCCGGGCGACGGUUGUCCCGGUUUAAGCAUGUAGGCGGAGGUUCCAGGUAAAUCCGGUACCUUUUUAACGCUGAGGUGUGAUGACGAGGCACUACGGUGCUGAAGUAACAAAUGCCCUGCUUCCAGGAAAAGCCUCUAAGCAUCAGGUAACACGAAAUCGUACCCCAAACCGACACAGGUGGUCAGGUAGAGAAUACCAAGGCGCUUGAGAGAACUCGGGUGAAGGAACUAGGCAAAAUGGUGCCGUAACUUCGGGAGAAGGCACGCUGAUAUGUAGGUGAAGCCCCUGCGGGUGGAGCUGAAAUCAGUCGAAGAUACCAGCUGGCUGCAACUGUUUAUUAAAAACACAGCACUGUGCAAACACGAAAGUGGACGUAUACGGUGUGACGCCUGCCCGGUGCCGGAAGGUUAAUUGAUGGGGUUAGCGGUAACGCGAAGCUCUUGAUCGAAGCCCCGGUAAACGGCGGCCGUAACUAUAACGGUCCUAAGGUAGCGAAAUUCCUUGUCGGGUAAGUUCCGACCUGCACGAAUGGCGUAAUGAUGGCCAGGCUGUCUCCACCCGAGACUCAGUGAAAUUGAACUCGCUGUGAAGAUGCAGUGUACCCGCGGCAAGACGGAAAGACCCCGUGAACCUUUACUAUAGCUUGACACUGAACACUGGUCCUUGAUGUGUAGGAUAGGUGGGAGGCUUUGAAGCGUGGACGCCAGUCUGCGUGGAGCCAACCUUGAAAUACCACCCUUUAAUGGCUGGUGUUCUAACGUAGACCCGUGAUCCGGGUUGCGGACAGUGUCUGGUGGGUAGUUUGACUGGGGCGGUCUCCUCCCAAAGAGUAACGGAGGAGCACGAAGGUUAGCUAAUCCUGGUCGGACAUCAGGAGGUUAGUGCAAUGGCAUAAGCUAGCUUGACUGCGAGAGUGACGGCUCGAGCAGGUGCGAAAGCAGGUCAUAGUGAUCCGGUGGUUCUGAAUGGAAGGGCCAUCGCUCAACGGAUAAAAGGUACUCCGGGGAUAACAGGCUGAUACCGCCCAAGAGUUCAUAUCGACGGCGGUGUUUGGCACCUCGAUGUCGGCUCAUCACAUCCUGGGGCUGAAGUAGGUCCCAAGGGUAUGGCUGUUCGCCAUUUAAAGUGGUACGCGAGCUGGGUUUAGAACGUCGUGAGACAGUUCGGUCCCUAUCUGCCGUGGGCGCUGGAGAAUUGAGGGGGGCUGCUCCUAGUACGAGAGGACCGGAGUGGACGCAUCACUGGUGUUCGGGUUGUCAUGCCAAUGGCACUGCCCGGUAGCUAAAUGCGGAAGAGAUAAGUGCUGAAAGCAUCUAAGCACGAAACUUGCCCCGAGAUGAGUUCUCCCUGAGACU